rnacentral:rRNA from 1 species
GGCCUAACACAUGCAAGUCGAGGGGUAUUUAUCUUCGGAUAGAGAGACCGGCGCACGGGUGCGUAACGCGUAUGCAAUCUACCUUUUACAGCGGGAUAGCCCAGAGAAAUUUGGAUUAAUACCUCAUAGUAUUAUGAAAUGGCAUCAUUUUAUAAUUAAAGUCACAACGGUAAAAGAUGAGCAUGCGUCCCAUUAGCUAGUUGGUAAGGUAACGGCUUACCAAGGCUACGAUGGGUAGGGGUCCUGAGAGGGAGAUCCCCCACACUGGUACUGAGACACGGACCAGACUCCUACGGGAGGCAGCAGUGAGGAAUAUUGGACAAUGGGCGCAAGCCUGAUCCAGCCAUGCCGCGUGCAGGAUGACGGUCCUAUGGAUUGUAAACUGCUUUUAUACGAGAAGAAACACUGCUACGUGUAGCAGCUUGACGGUAUCGUAAGAAUAAGGAUCGG